rnacentral:rRNA from 1 species
ACUCAAUAGAUACCCGGGUAGUCCACGCCCUAAACGAUGCAUGCUUGGUGCUGGUGAUUCAGUUCAUCGGUGCCGGAGCUAACGCGUUAAGCAUGCCGCCUGGGGAGUACAGUCGCAAGGCUGAAACUCAAAGGAAUUGACGGGGGCCCGCACAAGCGGUGGAGCAUGUGGUUCAAUUCGACGCAACGCGAAGAACCUUACCUGGGCUCGAACGGCCGGUCAACGGGAGCGGAAACGUUUCUACCCCGCAAGGGGGUCCGGUCGAGGUGCUGCAUGGCUGUCGUCAGCUCGUGUCGUGAGAUGUUGGGUUAAGUCCCGCAACGAGCGCAACCCUUGUCCUGUGUUGCCACUCCGCAAGGAAGCACUCGCAGGAGACCGCCAGCGAUAAGUUGGAGGAAGGUGGGGAUGACGUCAAGUCCUCAUGGCCUUUAUGUCCAGGGCUACACACGUGCUACAAUGGCCGGUACAAAGCGCUGCAAACCCGCGAGGGGGAGCCAAUCGCAGAAAACCGGUCUCAGUUCGGAUUGCAGG